AGGACGAACGCUGGCGGCACGCUUAACACAUGCAAGUCGAACGGAGAAUUUUGGUUUACUGAGAAUUCUUAGUGGCGGACGGGUGAGUAACACGUGAGCAACCUGCCUCUGAGAGAGGGAUAGCUUCUGGAAACGGAUGGUAAUACCUCAUAACAUAACGAAGCCGCAUGACUUUGUUAUCAAAGAUUUAUCACUCAGAGAUGGGCUCGCGUCUGAUUAGAUAGUUGGUGAGGUAACGGCUCACCAAGUCGACGAUCAGUAGCCGGACUGAGAGGUUGAACGGCCACAUUGGGACUGAGACACGGCCCAGACUCCUACGGGAGGCAGCAGUGGGGAAUAUUGCACAAUGGGGGAAACCCUGAAUGCAGCGAUGCCGCGUGGAGGAAGAAGGUUUUCGGAUUGUAAACUCCUGUCUUAAAGGACGAUAAUGACGGUACUUUAGGAGGAAGCUCCGGCUAACUACGUGCCAGCAGCCGC
rnacentral:rRNA from 1 species